rnacentral:rRNA from 1 species
AACGGCCGCGGUAUACUGACCGUGCAAAGGUAGCAUAAUCAUUAGUCUUUUAAUAGAGGGCUGGAAUGAAAGGUUUAACGAGGAACUGACUGUCUCAUUUUAUUUGUUUUAAAAUUUAAUCUUUUAGUCAAAAAGCUAAAAUUUUAUUGGAAGACGAGAAGACCCUAUAGAUCUUUAUAGUAAGUUAUUUAUUUGUUUUUAUAUUAAUUUAUUUAAUUGGCUUUCUAUUUUGUUGGGGUGACAAAAAUAUAUAAGAAACUCUUUUAUUUAUUUAACAUUAAUUUAUGAUUAUUAGAUCCAUUAUUAGUGAUUGUUAGAUUAAGUUACCUUAGGGAUAACAGCGUAAUCCUCCUCCAGAGUUCAUAUUUACAGGAAGGGCUUGCGACCUCGAUGUUGGAUUAAGAUAAUAAUUAGGUGUAGCCGCUUAAUUUAUAGGUCUGUUCGAC